UGCUCAGGUGGGCUUGUAAGUCAGUGGUGAAAUACUGCCGCUUAACGGUAGAACUGCCAUUGAUACCGCAAGUCUUGAGUAUGGUUGAGGUAGGCGGAAUGUGUUGUGUAGCGGUGAAAUGCAUAGAUAUGACACAGAACUCCAAUUGCGAAGGCAGCUUACUAAGCCAUUACUGACGCUGAGGCACGAAAGCGUGGGGAGCGAACAGGAUUAGAUACCCUGGUAGUCC
rnacentral:rRNA from 1 species